ensembl:rRNA 5S_rRNA 5S ribosomal RNA
CUCCCGAUCUCAUCUGAUCUCGGAAG